AUUCCAUGAUAAGGGCAUUUUUGUAGGAACUCUUUGAAUCUCUCCCACGCCUCAUACAAGGAUUCAUCAUCCAUUUGUUAGAAGGUAGUGGUCUCAUUUCACAACUU
rfam:Gossypium arboreum cultivar AKA8401 contig_59391_1, whole genome shotgun sequence.